AUUGCCUCAGUAACGGCGAGUGAAGCGGCAACAGCUCAAAUUUGAAAUCUGGCCCUAGGCCCGAGUUGUAAUUUGCAGAGGAUGCUUUUGGCAAGGUGCCUUCCGAGUUCCCUGGAACGGGACGCCAUAGAGGGUGAGAGCCCCGUCUGGUCGGACACCGAGCCUCUGUAAAGCUCCUUCGACGAGUCGAGUAGUUUGGGAAUGCUGCUCAAAAUGGGAGGUAUAUGUCUUCUAAAGCUAAAUACCGGCCAGAGACCGAUAGCGCACAAGUAGAGUGAUCGAAAGAUGAAAAGCACUUUGAAAAGAGAGUUAAAUAGCACGUGAAAUUGUUGAAAGGGAAGCGUUUAUGACCAGACUUGGCCCGGUUGAUCAUCCAGCCUUCUGGCUGGUGCACUCUGCCGGUCCAGGCCAGCAUCAGUUCGCCGCGGGGGAUAAAGGUUUCGGGAAUGUAGCUCCUCCGGGAGUGUUAUAGCCCGUUGCGUAAUACCCUGCGGUGGACUGAGGUCCGCGCUCUGCAAGGAUGCUGGCGUAAUGGUCAUCAACGACCCGUCUUGAAACACGGACCAAGGAGUCGUCUUCGUAUGCGAGUGUUCGGGUGUAAAACCCCUACGCGUAAUGAAAGUGAACGCAGGUGAGAGCUUCGGCGCAUCAUCGACCGAUCCUGAUGUUCUCGGAUGGAUUUGAGUAAGAGCAUACGGGGCCGGACCCGAAAGAAGGUGAACUAUGCCUGUAUAGGGUGAAGCCAGAGGAAACUCUGGUGGAGGCUCGCAGCGGUUCUGACGUGCAAAUCGAUCGUCAAAUAUGGGCAUGGGGGCGAAAGACUAAU
rnacentral:rRNA from 1 species